CUCUGAUUCUUUCUUUCUUUCUCUAUCUCCCACACACGGUUAAAAGCUUUCCCACUAGUCUCUGCACAUGUCUUCUCCGUUCUUACACGAAGGUUCGUAGAGAAAGAGGGAGAGAUCCAAUGCGGUGCUCUCUACCGCACUUACCGUGCACUUCACUGGUCGUAUUGUUCUUGUCGGUGGCAACUGUCUGCUUAGCCGCCGACCCUUACGUUUUCUUCGACUGGACUGUCUCUUACCUCACUGCUUCUCCUCUAGGCACUCGCCAACAGGUUAUUGGGAUCAAUGGGCAGUUCCCUGGUCCCAUUCUCAAUGUAACUACGAACUGGAAUGUGGUUGUCAACGUGAAGAAUAAUCUUGAUGAGCCCUUGCUUCUCACAUGGAAUGGAAUCCAACAUAGGAAAAACUCGUGGCAAGACGGUGUUUUGGGCACUAACUGUCCGAUACCUUCUGGUUGGAACUGGACAUAUGAGUUUCAAGUCAAAGACCAGAUUGGUAGUUUCUUUUAUUUCCCAUCUACAAACUUCCAGAGAGCAGCUGGUGGUUACGGUGGCAUCAUUAUCAACAAUAGAGACAUCAUUCCAGUUCCUUUUCUUUUGCCUGAUGGAGAUGUUACUCUCUUUAUCAGUGAUUGGUUCACUAAGAGCCAUAAGAAGCUGAGGAAAGAUGUUGAGAGUAAGAUUGACUUUGGAGCUCCUGAUGGCAUUCUCAUCAAUGGCUUUGGACCUUUUCCUUACAGUAGUGAGCUCGCUUCGGGUGGGUUUCCUUAUGGGACAAUAAACGUUGAACCAGGAAGAACAUACCGCUUCCGUGUUCACAACAGUGGCAUAGCAACCACCUUGAACUUCAGAAUACAGAAUCAUAAUCUGCUUCUUGUCGAGACAGAAGGUUCAUACACAGUUCAGCAGAACUACACAAACAUGGACAUUCAUGUGGGUCAAUCUUUUUCGUUUCUAGUCACUAUGGAUCAGUCCGGUAGUAACGACUACUACAUUGUUGCCAGCACAAGGUUUACCAAAUCAUCCUCGUCCCCCAAAGCUACCGGAGUCGCUAUCUUGCACUACUCUAGCUCCCAAGGACCAGCUUCAGGUCCACUCCCUGAUCCUCCUAUUGAGUUGGACACAUCUUUCUCAAUGAACCAAGCACGUUCCAUAAGGUUGAAUGUCUCAGCUGGAGCUGCUCGCCCAAACCCUCAGGGAUCAUUCAAGUAUGGUCAGAUUACAGUAACUGAUGUCUACGUGAUUGUCAACAGACCACCAGAGAAGAUAGAUGGGAGGUUGCGUGCCACUCUUAAUGGUAUAUCGUACUUGCCUCCUUCAACACCGUUAAAGCUUGCUCAGCAGUACAACAUCUCAGGGGUGUAUAAGCUGGAUUUUCCGAAAAGACCGAUGAAUCGGCAUCCUAAGGUUGAUACCUCUGUCAUGAAUGGCACUUACAAGGGGUUCAUGGAGAUUAUAUUUCAGAAUAGUGACACUACUGUUAAGAGCUAUCACUUGGAUGGUUAUGCAUUCUUUGUUGUCGGGAUGGACUUUGGUCUGUGGACAGAGAAUAGUAGAAGUUUAUACAACAAAGGGGAUGGGGUUGCUAGAUCUACUACGCAGCUUUCCAGGUGUUUCCUGGUGCAUGGACCGCUAUCUUAGUUUACUUGGACAAUGCUGGCAUGUGGAACCUUCGAAUAGACAAUCUCGCCUCAUGGUAUCUAGGACAAGAGGUGUACUUGAAUGUAGUUAAUCCUGAGAUUGACACAUCUGAGAAUUCCAUUCCUGAAAACACCAUUUACUGUGGUCGGCUCUCACCAUUACAAAGGGAUCAGUCACAGAGGGUAAACUUCUCGGGAUCACCGAGAUCUGUGUUGGUGACAAGCAGAGGGAUCCUCCUUGCUAUUUUUGCAAUCUUAAUUAGUAGUUUAGCCAGAUGAGGAUUCUGAGGUUUUCAAGCAGGACAGUAAGAAGCUGCCAGCCACUACCAUCAUUAUUAGAAGUUGAUAAUGUUGGUGUAGUAGCUUGAAGAUUAGAGAUGCUGUUUUUUUAGUUAUGGUGUAGAGAUUAUUCAACUAUCCAUCAAGGCAUCAAAAUAUAUGUUAAUGCUUGAAUUGUAAUAGAAUAUUAUUUUUCAAGUUACAGAUGACUAUGGUGGAUAGAAGAACUUAGUUAUUAAGACA